CACUUUAUGCACUUUUACUUUACACACUUAUAAUUUAGGAACUUUCACUUUACAAACUUAUACUUUACAAACAUUGAAUUUACGAACUUUAAAUUUACGAACAUUUACUUUACAAGCUUUCACUUUACGAACUACUUUAGGAACUUUCACUUUAAGAACUUUUACUUUACGAACUUUUACUUUACAAACUUUCGCGAAUACGAACAGGUGAAAUUUGAAAAGUUUUUAUAAUUAAUUUUGUUUUAUUACUGAAUAUAAAAUAUAUUUUAUAUAGAGUAUUUCUCUUAGUUUUAGUAUGUGGUUGUUUAUUUGAUACACUGUAAAAUCAAAUAGUAUACUUCACUAGAAAAAUUCUAUUAUGUUUACUUAAAUCUGACUAAAAUAUUGAGUUUACUAAAAAUAGUUAAUUAUUAGUAAAAUUUUAAAAUAAAUAUUUGAGAUUACUAAUAAAAAUUAAGUAAUAUUACUCGAAAUGUUUGAGACAUUUUAUUGGGCAUGCACAAUGAAGCACAACUCCCCUCCCCCACACUUUGCUGAAGCUCGUGGACUGAAGACGGUUUGAGCAUCUACCGAUUAAGGUAAUUAAUUAAGGCAUAUUUUUGUUUCCUUGUUUAUUAGUUAUAAUCAUGAUGUUCACUUGAAUUAAUAUUACUUUGCAGAACAUGUUAGAACCUUUUAAACUUAUCUUUAAAUAAACAUCUUUUGGACCGUUUGUAGCUUUGAACACCUCGUGUUGGAAACCAACAUCUAAAAUGUUAUUUUGCACUUUAGAUCUGUAAAAUCGGAUUGCCGGUUAAUUAUAUAAAAAUGCUUUAUUUUUGUUAAUUUGAUUACUCGGUCGUUACAACGCGGGGGGGGAUUCGCGAGAUCUUGGAAGGAGGGAAGGAGGGAAUGAAGGGAAAAAAACGGGAUAUUGAAGGCAAAAAAAUCAGGAAGAAAAAAACGGGACAUGGGGGACAAAAAAACUGUCUUAUACUGAGGGCGCAAGUUUUGACUGAAUACACCGUCAAACUGUAACCACCGCGCGAUAAUACUAAAGUAACGUCUGAAUGUCGCCAGCGCGUGCAUCUUUUAAAAGACAGCGUUGAAGUGUAUCUUACUGAAUAUUACAGAUUAAAGCUGCAUGUUUUAGUUUUAAAGAAGUAGUUCACCAAACAUUUUUCAUAUGACUUCCAUGAUGAUUAGAUUUUUUCAAUAGUUAAUACCAAUAAUAUUGUUCAUUGUUAAAGUUGUGGAUUAAUUCAUUUUAUUGGUAAUAUUUAAUGCUAAAUGAGCAUGUGAACUUCAUUGCAAGUUACUUUGCCUUUACCUUAAGUAAUUCAUUUAUUUUUUUCUUUUUAGGUUUCCUGUUGAUUGCCUUCUGCCAUGCAGUGGAAUUGAAAAAAGAAGAAAACCAAGGAAGAAUGCUUGAUGAAUUUCUGCAUCAAGUUGAUUUAAAGUCAUCUGAUGUAACUUGUGUGCGCACCGAAGUACUUCAUGGCCUUCCAAUCCUCCUGGGGGAUUAUUCUGUGGAAUUUUCACGACAUUCUUUGAUUCAGAUGUGAAUGUAGACCUGAGUGCAGUUGAUGUUGGCCUGCUCACAGUUUUACCAGAAGACAUGCCUGCCCAAACUCCACAUCACUCAGUGUCGACUCAUUAAAGGCAAUCAUUCUUGAGGGAAAAAUUGUGGUGGGUGAUGUCCCAAACUUGCCAUAUGCUGUGUUUUUCUGCAUGUUGCCUAUUUCGAAAAAAAGCUGUUUUUGCAGUUAUUUGAUGUCAAGUGGCAGUUAUUGAUUAGUCAAGGUCCCCAUGCUGUUUAGAUAGAAGUAUAUAUUUAUACUAUAUAUAUUUA